rnacentral:rRNA from 2 species
CUUCGUGACGAUAGGGCAUGGGUCCUACCUCUUCCCAUUUCGAACAGAGUCGUAAAAACAUGCACCGCCGAUGAUAGUACAGCGUUAUGCUAUGCAAAAGUAGGUCAUUGCGAGGG